ACACUGAUGGUGAAGCGGUUAUCAUGCUUGCCUUCCAAGCAAAGUCACGUGAUCAUAACCGUCACGUGUCCGCUUAGCAAGCGGCAGGGGUUCGACUCCCCUUCAGUGUA